rnacentral:rRNA from 1 species
CCCUAUUAUUCUUUGAUUAUUUUAGGAUUACCUUUGAACGGGAAAGUAAAAUGGCAUGGCGGCCAAGUUAAUCUCUUAGAGACGUAUGUUUCGUAAAGGAAAAUGCACCCACAUCUCGCUUCCCCUAUAAAAUCUUAGACAUCGCCGUCUGAAAGACCUCUUAAGAAUGGGAGGCUCGAGUUGAAAGGUAUUUCAUACCAAAUACGUCAGGUAAAGGUCUAGAACUGGAGAAGUAGAAAUGUAUGUCAAUGAUCGACCUAGAAAUAUUCGAUGUAAUUCGAGUGUUGAUGAGAAUUUAAAAGUAAUCUUUAAAUUUUACUAGGGAUUAGGUGAAUUGUCAAUGCUUGGUGUACACAUCGCCC